rnacentral:rRNA from 1 species
CAGCAGUGGGGGAAUAUUGCACAAUGGGCGCAAGCCUGAUGCAGCCAUGCCGCGUGUGUGAAGAAGGCCUUCGGGUUGUAAAGCACUUUCAGUCGUGAGGAAGGUGGUAGUGUUAAUAGCACUAUCAUUUGACGUUAGCGACAGAAGAAGCACCGGCUAACUCCGUGCCAGCAGCCGCGGUAAUACGGAGGGUGCGAGCGUUAAUCGGAAUUACUGGGCGUAAAGCGCAUGCAGGUGGUUUGUUAAGUCAGAUGUGAAAGCCCGGGGCUCAACCUCGGAAUAGCAUUUGAAACUGGCAGACUAGAGUACUGUAGAGGGGGGUAGGAAUUUCAGGUGUAGCGGUGAAAUGCGUAGAGAUCUGAAGGAAUACCGGUGGCGAAGGCGGCCCCCUGGACAGAUACUGACACUCAGAUGCGAAAGCGUGGGGAGCAAACAGGAUUAGAUACCCUGGUAG